rnacentral:rRNA from 1 species
AGUGAACGCUGGCGGUAGGCCUAACACAUGCAAGUCGAACGGCAGCACAGUAAGAGCUUGCUCUUACGGGUGGCGAGUGGCGGACGGGUGAGGAAUACAUCGGAAUCUACUUUUUCGUGGGGGAUAACGUAGGGAAACUUACGCUAAUACCGCAUACGACCUACGGGUGAAAGCAGGGGAUCUUCGGACCUUGCGCGAUUGAAUGAGCCGAUGUCGGAUUAGCUAGUUGGCGGGGUAAAGGCCCACCAAGGCGACGAUCCGUAGCUGGUCUGAGAGGAUGAUCAGCCACACUGGAACUGUGACACGGUCCAGACUCCUACGGGAGGCAGCGGUGGGGAAUAUUGGACAAUGGGCGCAAGCCUGAUCCAGCCAUACCGCGUGGGUGAAGAAGGCCUUCGGGUUGUAAAGCCCUUUUGUUGGGAAAGAAAAGCAGCAGGUUAAUACCCCGCUGUUCUGACGGUACCCAAAGAAUAAGCACCGGCUAACUUCGUG